rnacentral:snoRNA from 1 species
CAGGAUGAUGAUUUUUUUUGUGGCGGACUCGCAACGUGACAGUCUCAAACCAUGUUGUUGCACAGCUGAC